GAGUUUGAUCGUGGCUCAGGACGAACGCUGGCGGCGUGCCUAAUACAUGCAAGUCGAGCGAGGGUUUUUAAGACCCCAGCGGCGGACGGGUGAGUAACACGUAGGCAACCUGCCUCUCAGACCGGGAUAACAUAGGGAAACUUAUGCUAAUACCGGAUAGGUUUUUGGAUUGCAUGAUCCGAAAAGAAAAGAUGGCUUUUCGCUAUCACUGGGAGAUGGGCCUGCGGCGCAUUAGCUAGUUGGUGGGUAACGGCCUACCAAGGCGACGAUGCGUAGCCGACCUGAGAGGGUGACCGGCCGACACUGGGACUGAGACACGGCCCAGACUCCUACCGGGAGGCAGCGAGUAGGGAAUUUUCCACAAUGGACGAAAGUACUGAUGGAGCAACGCCGCGUG
rnacentral:rRNA from 1 species